rnacentral:rRNA from 1 species
AUGCAUGAUGAAUUCUCGGCGCUGAUGGUGAACAGGACCUGGACGCUCGUGCCCCGACCGCCGGGUGCCAACAUAGUCACUGGUAAGUGGCUGUUCCAGCACAAGUUGAAGGAGGACGGCAGCCUCGAGCGCUAUAAAGCGCGAUGGGUGGUCAGGGGGUUCUCGCAACGCCCCGGCGUCGACUUCGAUGAGACGUUCUCACCGGUCGUCAAGGCCGCCACCAUUCGCACCGUGCUCACCGUGGCUGCCAGCCGAGGCUGGCCUGUUCACCAGAUGGACGUGAACAAUGCCUUUCUUCAUGGGCAUCUCGCGGAGCGCGUCUACUGCCAACAGCCGACAGGCUUCAUCGACAAGAACUUCCCCAACCACAUCUGCCUGCUUGACAAGUCACUAUAUGGCCUGAAACAGGCCCCUCACGCCUGGUUUGCGCGGUUC